UUCACCUAGCCAUGGAAUGGUGUCUGUUC
rnacentral:piRNA from 1 species